UGGGGUGGUGGAGACCCAAAGGAGCCCCGGACUUCACCUGAGCUACCUCAGUGGUCACCAAGAGUGGCAAGAUAAAGAAAACCCUGAGUUGGGCGGGACCAGGAUGCCUGAUCGGGACAGCUAUGCCAACGGCACCGGGAGCAGCAGUGGAGGCCCUGGAGGUGGUGGCAGCGAGAAGGCCAGUGGGGCAGGAGCAGGCAGUGGCGUGGCCAGCUCAGAUGCCAUCUGUAGAGACUUCUUGAGGAAUGUGUGCAAGUAAGGCAAGCGUUGCCAAUAUCGCCACCCAGACAUGAACGAGGUGUCCAACUUGGGGGUGAGCAAAAACAAGUUCAUCUUCUGCCAUGACUUCCAGAAUAAGGAGUGUAGCCGCCCAAACUGCCGUUUCAUCCAUGGCUCCAAGGAGGAUGAAGAUGGCUACAAGAAGACAGGAGAGCUUCCCCCACAGCUGAGACAGAAAGUAGCAGCUGACCUUGGCCUUUCUCCGGCUGACUUACCAAAUGGCAAGGAGGAGGUCCCUAUCUGCUGUGACUUUCUCAAGGGGGACUGUCAGAGAGGAGCUAAGUGCAAGUUCCGUCACCUGCAACGGGAUUUUGAGUUUGAUGCUCAGGGUGGCGGAGGCACUGGUGGGGGAUCAACAGGCUCAAUCCCCCCAGGACGACGUCAUGAUCUUCUAUUAUAUCUAUGACCUUCCUGACAGGGCCUUUGAGGACCAUGAGCCAGGCCCAAAACGCCGGCAAGGUGGAUGCUGCCCCCCUGAUGGUCCUCAUUUUGAGUCAUAUGAAUAUAGCUUGGCUCCACCGCGAGGGGUAGAGUGCAGACUGCUAGAGGAGGAGAAUGCCAUGCUCAGGAAGCGGGUAGAGGAACUAAAGAAGCAAGUCAGUAACCUGCUGGCCACCAAUGAGGUAUUACUGAAACAAAAUGCUUAGUUCCACAAUCAGGCUAAGGUCAUAACCCUGAGCUCCACUGCACCAGCGACUGAGCAGACUCUGGCCCCCACUGUGGGCACUGUCACUACUUUUAACCAUGGCAUUGCCCAGACUCACACGACUCUCAGCAGCCAGGCUCUACAGCCUCGUCCAGUGUCCCAGCAAGAACUGGUGGCCCCUGCUAGAACUCCAGCUGCUCCCCCAACUAACACUGCACCUCCUGCUGCUCCACCACCCCCACCCCCACACUUGAACCCAGAGAUCACACCACUGUCAGCUGCCCUGGCUCAAACAAUUGCCCAGGGAAUGGCACCCCCACCUGUCUCCAUGGCUCCUGUGGCUGUAUCUGUGGCUCCUGUGGCCCCUGUGGCCGUAUCGAUGGCCCAACCCUUGGCAGGAAUCACAAUGAGCCACACCACCACUCCCGUGGUAAUUUACCCUAUUGCUUCCCAGACCAUGCGCAUCACAGCCAUGCCACACUGAUGGGGCUAAUGGACACUCCCCUGGUAUAGCCUCCUGUGGCUGGGGUCAAGGAGCCCUUGCCCACUUUCCUAGCCCUCCCCAGCCCUGUCUGAAGGACUCCCUUGAGAACUAGGACAAGAGACUACAAGGAGUAGUCCUGAGGAGGGGCUGGGUUGGUGUGUUUUCUCUCACCUCCAUUUUAUGAGGGUCCUCUUGUCCAUCUUCAAGCCUCACAGUGGGGGCUUGCAGAGGAGUGCAGACUGAAGCCAAAAGAGAGGAAGGACUGACUCAGGGCCUGUGUCCUCUUAUGGGAAUUUGGGAAGAUCCCUCAUCUUGUCCUCUCUUCUACACAGCAUAGUUUCCAGCACUGGUUUUGGAAGAAAAAAAUACCCUGCCCAGAGGGAAAGCCAGGAAAGAUUGAGAAGUGGGUGGUCAGGAGAGAAGGCCUGAUAGGAGCCUUCAAACAAUUUGGGUCCUAGUUGGUUGGGUUGGACAAUACAGGAAUUGCUUCUGGGCCCUGGGAAUGCUGGGACCAUAGUGCUCCAGCCCAAAGACUAGGGGAGCAUUCAUUACCCUAGCUUGGCCUGAAAAUCCGUAGGGCAGGGCCCACUACUUUCCAAAGAAAUAAAAGAACAAUUAUUUU